rnacentral:lncRNA from 10 species
AAACAAGGUGGGUUGUACUAGGAAUCUUCUCUAAAUCAUAUUCCCCAUCUCUUUAUUCCUUAUUUCUUCCUCCAGGAGCCCGCUCUCUCUUGGGAGAGCUGUGGAUCCUCACUCAGCAUUGUGUGUCAGGGUUUCCAAAGACCUGAUGUGUGAGGCUUCUUUGCCUUUUCAUAGGUCUUGGCUCAAAUGCUGCCUCCCCUAUGAAGAUGUCCUGACCCUCCCAGCCUAGAGUGACUGCUCCCUCCUUGAGUCUCAGGAUCUCCAACUGUGACAUGGGCAUACUGUUUGCAACAUACCCACAGAUGGAUUGUGAUGAGGAAGGAAAGAGAGAGUCCAUGUAGCAUGCUAAGUGUAGUGUCUGGUGCAGGCCUGUGCAUCUCAAGAAGUGGGAUGGAGUCUGAGGCAGGUGGAUCACUUGAGUCCUGGAGUUCGAGAUCAGCCUGGGCACCAUGGAGAAACCCGACUCUACCAAAAAUACAAGAGUACACACACACAAAAAUAGCCAGGGGCAGUAACACAUGCCUGCAGUCCCAGCUUAUUGUGAGGCUGAGGUAGGAAAAUCGCU